CUUAGCAGAGAUGCUUUGGUGCCUUCGGGGAACUCUGAGACAGGUGCUGCAUGGCUGUCGUCAGCUCGUGUUGUGAAAUGUUAGGUUAAGUCCCGCAACGAGCGCAACCCCUAUCCUUUGUUGCCAGCGAUUCGGUCGGGAACUCAAAGGAGACUGCCGGUGAUAAACCGGAGGAAGGUGGGGAUGACGUCAAGUCAUCAUGGCCCUUACGAGUAGGGCUACACACGUGCUACAAUGGCGCAUACAAAGAGAAGCGACCUCGCGAGAGCAAGCGGACCUCAUAAAGUGCGUCGUAGUCCGGAUUGGAGUCUGCAACUCGACUCCAUGAAGUCGGAAUCGCUAGUAAUCGUAGAUCAGAAUGCUACGGUGAAUACGUUCCCGGGCCUUGUACACACCGCCCGUCACACCAUGGGAGUGGGUUGCAAAAGAAGUAGAUAGCUUAACCUUCGGGAGGGCGUUUACCACUUUGUGAUUCAUGACUGGGGUGAAGUCGUAACAAGGUAAGCGUAGCGAG
rnacentral:rRNA from 1 species